rnacentral:rRNA from 1 species
UACGGAGGGUGCGAGCGUUGUCCGGAAUCACUGGGCGUAAAGGGCGCGUAGGUGGCUCGGGCAGUCCACGGUGAAAGUUCAGGGCUCAACCCUGAAUCGGCCGUCGAUACUCCCGGGCUUGAGCACUGUAGAGGCAGAUGGAAUUCCGGGUGUAGCGGUGGAAUGCGUAGAGAUCCGGAAGAACACCGGUGGCGAAGGCGGUCUGCUGGGCAGUAGCUGACACUGAGGCGCGACAGCGUGGGGAGCAAACAGG